rnacentral:rRNA from 1 species
UGGGGAAUUUUGGACAAUGGGCGAAAGCCUGAUCCAGCAAUGCCGCGUGUGUGAAGAAGGCCUUCGGGUUGUAAAGCACUUUUGUCCGGAAAGAAAUCCUUGGCUCUAAUACAGUCGGGGGAUGACGGUACCGGAAGAAUAAGCACCGGCUAACUACGUGCCAGCAGCCGCGGUAAUACGUAGGGUGCAAGCGUUAAUCGGAAUUACUGGGCGUAAAGCGUGCGCAGGCGGUUUGCUAAGACCGAUGUGAAAUCCCCGGGCUCAACCUGGGAACUGCAUUGGUGACUGGCAGGCUAGAGUAUGGCAGAGGGGGGUAGAAUUCCACGUGUAGCAGUGAAAUGCGUAGAGAUGUGGAGGAAUACCGAUGGCGAAGGCAGCCCCCUGGGCCAAAUACUGACGCUCAUGCACGAAAAGCGUGGGGAGCAAAACAGGAUUAGAUACCCCUGGUAGUCCACGCCCUAAAACGAUGUCAACUAGUUGUUGGGGAUUCAUUUCCUUAGUAACGUAGCUAACGCGUGAAGUUGACCGCCUGGGGAGUACGGUCGCAAAGAUUAAAAACUUAAAGGAAUUGACGGGGUCAUAGCUGUUUCCU